rnacentral:rRNA from 1 species
UGGCGGCGAUAGCGCGGUGGUCCCACCUGACCCCAUGCCGAACUCAGAAGUGAAACGCCGUAGCGCCGAUGGUAGUGUGGGGCUUCCCCAUGCGAGAGUAGGGAACUGCCAGACU